rnacentral:rRNA from 1 species
AACGAACGCUGGCGGCAUGCCUAACACAUGCAAGUCGAACGAGACCUUCGGGUCUAGUGGCGCACGGGUGCGUAACGCGUGGGAACCUGCCCUUAGGUUCGGAAUAACUCCCCGAAAGGUGUGCUAAUACCGGAUAAUGUCUUCGGACCAAAGAUUUAUCGCCUUUGGAUGGGCCCGCGUUGGAUUAGCUAGUUGGUAGGGUAAAAGCCUACCAAGGCGACGAUCCAUAGCUGGUCUGAGAGGAUGAUCAGCGACACUGGAACUGAGACACGGCCCAGAAUCCUACGGGAGGGAGCAGAAGGGAAUAUUGGACAAUGGGCGAAAGCCUGAUACAGCAAUGCCGCGUGAGUGAUGAAGGCCUUAGGGUUGUAAAGCUCUUUUACCCGGGAUGAUAAUGACAGUACCGGGAGAAUAAGCUCCGGCUAACUCCGUG